AAAAUUGCCCUGGUGUGGGGGAUAACCAUUGGAAACGAUGGCUAAUACCGCAUAAUGCCUACGGGCCAAAGAGGGGGACCUUCGGGCCUCUCGCGGCAGGAUAUGCCUAGGUGGGAUUAGCUAGCUGGCGAGGUAAGGGCUCACCAAGGCGACGAUCCCUAACUGGUCUGAGAGGAUGAUCAUUCACACUGGAACUGAGACACGGUCCAGACUCCUACGGGAGGCAGCAGUGGGGAAUAUUGCACAAUGGGCGCAAGCCUGAUGCAGCCAUGCCGCGUGUGUGAAGAAGGCCUUCGGGUUGUAAAGCACUUUCAGUCGGGAGGAAGGGAGUGUACUUAAUAGCUGCAUUAUUUGACGUUAGCGACAGAAGAAACACCGGCUAACUCCGUGCCAGCAGCCGCGGUAAUACGGAGGGCGCCAAAUUUUAAUCGGAAUUACUGGGCGUAAAGCGCAUGCACGUGGUUUGUUAAGACAGAUGUGAAAGCCCGGGGCUCCCCCCUCGCGAAUUGCAUUUGAAACUGAGCAUACUAGAGUAACUGUAGAGGGG
rnacentral:rRNA from 1 species